GAUGAUAGAGGUGCGAAGCUCAUCAGUAGCCCUGGGGAGGCGCUCAACCGCCGUUGAGUCAGGGGGAAAGGGGGAUUCGCCGAAAUGGAGAGCCGGGUUGAGCGGCGCUUUGUUGGGCGUCGGGAGAAGAUCCCGCCGACUGUCACCUUGUGUGGAGCGCUAUCGG
rnacentral:ncRNA from 1 species